rnacentral:misc_RNA from 1 species
CAUGCCCGUUGUAGCACACAU